UGAGUGCAGGCUCCGUUUAGAUUGUUCUUCUUUUUUCUGUGGUUCUUUUCCCUGUGUGUGCUGGUUAUCUACUGCUACGUAAAAAAUCCCUUCAGUACUUAGUGCUUGGAAGCAAUGAGAAUCGUUCAUUCUGUCUCAGUGUCUGCGACCAGCAAUUCAGGAGCAACUGGAUUAUUCACGUGUUGACUGGAAAAAAAAAAAAAAAACCUGAAAGUUUCGACUUAUGUUUUAUUUGGGGAACUUACUAAGGACCAUAGCCCGGGAGACAGCCUCUCAGAGAAUUCUGAAGGAUGGUGCCAAAGAGGGCCAGUAUCCUAUUUUUCUCCAUCCCGAAUUCCCACCAGGGUGCACCGUCGGCUGAUGGCUUGAUGGAAGGUCUGCUCAAGUUUUCUCAUGAGGCUGCUGCCAGACGGCGGCCAGGGCUGCCCUCACGAGAAGGUUCGGGGUGCUGCAGGGUCCACGUCUGCAUCUGCUCCCUCACGGGGCUGGUGCCAGCUGGCGCUGGUGGACUGAGGCCCUGGAAGAAGAAAGGCCGUGCCCAAGGUCACCCAGCCGGUCAGCCACAGCACCUUCCAUCCUCGGCCCUCCGUGCCCGUGUGUCCAGCCCUGCGUGCCCAAGGACCCUGGGGGUACAGAGUGGCUGGCACGGGCUGGGCUCAACCACCCCAGGAGCUGACAGGGUGGGAUCCUUCUCGCUGCCAGACCUGACCCAGCUCCACCUGCUUGGGAACAGGACUGAGGACCAGCAGAGAGGAACGCCUCUGGCCUGCCUUCCGCCCUCACUCCCUCUCCACCUUUCAAAGUCAGAAAACCUGGCUCAUCUGACAUAUGCUGGGCCAGAAAGAGGCCGGCACCUGGGCGCUUCCCGCAAUAGGUGUGCGUGUGCGUGUGCGUGUGCAUAAGAAACCACUCCCUGCCUGCCAGUGACACAGCUUCUGUAGUUUUGGCUUCUUGUUGGUGACACGCCCCUGAUGCCCAGGGAGCAGCGUGAACGGUGAUGAAGCCGAUAUUUGCAGUGUUUACAGCUUCGAAGCCACGCUCCCUUCCCCACGUUUGGCCUCCUCUUGGGUCCUGCUGCCUCUGGAGCGCGCUGGAUUUCCCUUUCCCCCCGGCAGGGAGGGGAGAUGGGAGUCCAGAGGAACAAUGUGAUUUGCCCAGAGCCACGCGGGCCUGGUGCUGCAGAGCCUGCCACGAGCCCUGUCUCCUUCUCCAAGUUCAGAGCUGUCUGCAGCAUCCCCACCUGACACCUCAGUAGCUUCCAUGCUCUGCAGGGCUGGCUCUAGACCAGCAUUCUCAAACUUUGUGGUGAGCUAUUUGUCUCACCUUCCACUCUUAAAAAUUGUAGAGGACGCCAGAGAUACUCUGUGUAUGGGGUUAUAUUUAUCAAUAUAUUGUAAUCGAAAUUAAAACUUCCAAAUUUCAGA